rnacentral:lncRNA from 1 species
GGGAGAGGUUAUUUCCCCACCGUGUUCAGGGACAACCCUGUGAUCAUGGUUUUGGUCACAUAGCUUCCAAGUGAGUGUUGUGCAAACAUUUGCUAGGAUCUCUCGGGGAGCCUGUUAGAAAAGAAACUCCUGAGCCUGCUCCAGAGCUUCUGUUCAGCAGGCCUGAGGUGGGACCAUACACCUGUCUUUUCAGCAAGCCCCCCCCCACCUCUGAGGAUGCACCCCAAAGCUAGAGAAUUCCUGCUCUGAGCCAUCUCUGAAAGCACCAAGAGCCAGGGCCAGGGAAGCUGGGCUGGAGGAAGCUGUCUGGGAGCCCAGGAGGCAAGCAGAAAACCGCCAGGACCGCCCCACGCUGGGGGAGCAGCAGGCACGGCCCCUACCAACACCCCCUGGCACCUCGCAAAGCUAGAGCCCGCCCGGUCCCCUCCCCGGAGCGCCCUGGUCUUUGGUUCGUAUUCAGCACAUCUUCAGAAACAGUGAUAGAAAAAUGCUGGUUUCUGACUCCACCAGCUCACGGAGGAGAUGCCAGCUCACGGAGGAAAAUCUGGAAGGUGUUGAAGCAUAGACGCUGGAACAUAAAAUGACUCAUGAUCUCACUGGGAGAAGGGCUGGGAACAUCGUGGGCUCUCUUCUCCCCGCGCUCCUCUCUCCGGGUCUCUGUUUCCCUCAUUCCACGAUGUUUAGAACCAUCGGCGCACUACAUCAGACUAGAGGUCUGGGGUCACCCGACCAUCCCGCCACAAGCCCCUCCGAGGCAUCACUGUGUCCAGAUUUUGCAAACUGCACCUCCUGAAGGGGCUGGGGUCUGUCCACUUCGCCCCAUCUGCCGUGGCAGCACUUCCUCCGUGGUUCGCACCCCCACAGCAGCCUCCUGGGAAGGCACCUCCCUGGGGCCCCUCUCAGUCCACGGUGUGGAUAUGGUGAGUUCUUAAACCAUGAACUUCUGAUUUCACAGCUCUGCUUGAAGCCUUCAAUGUCAGGCUUCCUGUUGCUCUUAAGAUAAUGAUCAAAACUCUCAACAAAGUUCCCCUGAUAAAUGCUCUCAACGUGCCCCCCACCACAGCAUCCCUAACUGUAAUGAAUACAUCAUUGGUCCUCACGGCAGCGGAUUAAUCGUCUGUGAGUGUUGGUUUAAUCUUUCUCUUCUGGAGUUUAGCUGUCACUGCCAUAUCCCCAGCACGGAGCACAAUGACAUGUUUAUAUGUAGAAAAUUGAGCGAAAAAUAAAAACAGCUAACAUUUGGGUACUUAUUAUCUUCCAGGCAGCAAGCUAUGCAUUUUGCAUAUAUUAGCAAAUCCAUGAGGCAGGUGCUGUCUUCAUUGUACAGAGGUCAGGAAGAUUCCUGCAGCUGCUGAGUUAGUACUUUUAAGAAAGUACUGGAUUCCCUCUCACAAUGGGACUUUGAUUUUUUUAAGAAAAAGGUUUCAUAAGUUUUCAAAUAACCUGGAGCAGUUGAGCAAACUUAAUGUGCAGCGUGGUCCCUGCUGGCUGGGUUUGAGGGGCUGGGUCUCUCUGAGUGGAUGCUGGUGAGGUGCAGAGGAAGAAGAAAAGGUGCCUGAGGGCCUGUGUGGAAGGCCUGUCACACAGCACAUCCUGGGAAAUCUGUCCAGGAAGCAGCCAGGCGGGCAUCAGCCAGGCGGGCAUCAGCAUCUUCACUGUGCAGAUGAGAAACUGAGGCCGCAGAGGUGAAGGGACAUGCCCAGGAUCACUAAGCAGCGUUUCAGCAUCUCUAUAAAACCCUCACAGUCCUAAUAACAUGCAUGCCAAAAUCCUGCUGUCCCAGCCUUUGGUUCCAGCAGUUUGACUUCUGGAAGUCUUUCCCAAGGAAAUAACCUUGAACCCACGGUGUCUGCUGUAGCAUUCUUCAUAAGAGUGACUGCAAACAACCUCUAAGCCCCAAAUCAUGUAUUGGUUAAAAAAAUAAUGAUUCCUUUUCUUGCUUUAACUCAGGUGAUCCCUAGAAACACAGCCAGUGGCCCGGAAGCUGCACUGUUUUGUGCACCGCAGGGAUGGGCACAGAUGGGGCUGCCUGCCCUCCUCCUGGAAGGAGGGAGAACCCAGUCUGGCCUGGAGUGGUCAAGAGCUAACUCUAGACUCAGCAAGACCUACUUCUCUCUCCUGCCCCUACUUCCUUGCUGCUGACCUGGGCAAGUCGCUGAAGCCUCUCCGUGCCUCAGUCUGCUCGUGCGUAAGAUGGGCACAGGGCACACUGCCUACUUGAUUGGGCUCAACCACGUGCAGUAAGUAGCUGGUGUCUGGCAAGAGCCCUCAGGAAACAGUAACCCCAUUAAUUCAAAUGCACGUGCCUGGAACAGGCUCUGGGGGGCCAGCCCGGGAGUCCCACUCCAUGAUGGCCACCCUGGGGCCUGGCAGGCUGGGCUGGCAUCCCAGGCCCACCGGAUACUGGCUGUGCACCCCGGCCAGGCCACACAUCUCUGAGCCUCACUUUCCCGUGUGUGAGAUGAGGCUAGAAGCUGCUUUCUCUUGCGUGUGUGGGGAUUGGCGGUGACAACACGGCCAGGAGCCCAGGCCCAGCCUACGCGAGCAGCCUCGCUCCAGGCCACACGCCCCACUCCUGACAGCUCUGUGCAGCGAGUUCGUGCGCGAGCGGGUGGCUGUCUGCCAGGCGAGGGGCGCGGGUGCCCAAGAGGGCUUCACUGCUUCUGGAAAGAUCACAAGGAAAAACCACCUCCGCGGCGGGACGCUACCCGCGGGCCGCUGCGGUCCCGCUCGCGGCCGGCAGGGGGCAGGAUGUCCCCGCGAGUCGCCCGUGUCUUCGGGUGUCCUCAGGUCACCCCGCACCGCUCGCAGCCUCCGCGCCUAGUUAAAGGGCGACGCACUCAUUUCUGCAAAGAAGGAGCCCAGCGGCCCCUCCCCGGGGAACUCUUUCCAUCAACUCGGGGCCUAAUAAUUUACAUUUAAUUUGUUAGCGGUUUAAUGUUUAAUUUUAAAAGCGAGAUGAUUCAUUACCAUAUUAAUAAAUAAUAACAUUUAUUAUUCUCCUAAUGAGUGUCCAAAAUACAGAAGCAAUUACAUGUUUUAUAUAUUUUCUCGUAAUUUGAGACACCAGAGCGUUAAUUACAGAGACUCACGCGUGGACCCCAUUCUGAUCCAGGGUCCUGAUCCUGCCUUUGUUUCGGUCUCUGAACCAGCCGCCCUCCGGGGCUUCUGCAAUUCCCUCAAUUAGAGGAGAGGAAGUCGUACGUGACGAAGCUGGGGCUCUCACAGAACCCCGGCGCCCCAGACCCAGGAGCUGCAAGACCUCAGCUCCCCGUGCCCACACUCGGAGACCCAGGCCCCUCCCAGUCCCCCGUCUCCUCUGUGCAGGGUUCUUCAGGAAGAAUCGGAAAGAGGCCCCCCGACCCACAACCAGCCUCGCAUUCCCUCCUCCCGCAGGGAUCCAUUGAGCUGGGGGGUGGGACUAUCCUCACUUCACAGAUGGGGAAACUGAGUCCUGGAGAGAGACGCUCCGGUGUCCUCAGCUGGUGAGGGGCAGAUCCGGGAGCCACGUCCCACGCAGUCGGUUGGCCCCAAGCUUGGUUCCUGCCUCAACCCCAGCGCAGGUUGCAGCAGGCCCGCGUAGGAGGGCGGCCUGGGUCUGGACAGAUCCACAGCCGGCCAACGCCCCUGGCUAGCUCUCUAUGGCUUUGCUUCUUCUCUUGACUUGCCAAGUUCUUCUUGUUCAUUGUAGAAAAUGUGGAAGGUGAGGCCGGGAGCGGUGGCUCACGCCUGUAAUCCUAGCACUUUGGGAGGCCGAGGCGGGCAGAUUGCCUGAGCUCAGGAGUUCGAGACCAGCCUGGGCAACAUGGUGAAACACGUCUCUACUAAAAAAAAAAAAAAAAAAAAAAAAAAAAUUUGCUGGGCGUGACGGCAGGCGCCUGUAGUCCCAGUGGGAGUUUGGGGAGGCUGAGGCAGGAGAAUCACUUGAACCCGGGAAGCAGAGAUUGCAGUGAGCCGAGAUCGUGCCACUGCACUCCAAUCUAGCGACAGAGCAAGACUCCGUCUCAAAAAAAAAAAAAAAAAAAAAAGUGGAAGGUGAAAAAAACACGGAGAGACAGCAAAGCUGGCAAUGACAUAGCUCCAAAAAUCCCACUUCUCAGAUAAGAUGCAGGCAGUAAGGGCCUGGAGUUUUAUGUAUCCUGAUGUUUGAAAGGGCUUGGACAGGGCACUUCCUCCCUCCAUAGCUCUUCUGUCCUUAGGAAUCCCUCCCUUCUGGAGGGGAAGGGUGGGGGUUUUCCUGUUUGGUCCCCAGGGAAGGAAGUUCAGAGACAGAGGCCCACUCAGGGCCACCCCCUGGCCUGCACCCCUGAAAUGCAAUUUGGAUAAUAUGGAAAAUUACUAGGAAGAAAAAACGCUAUAAUCCCCCCACCUAGAGAUAACCAGGCGUUCUGGUAUAUACCUAUUGAGGACUUUUUUCCCAAGCAAAUACUCAGAAAGAGACUUCCUCCCAAUAGGCAUGAGAUCUUACUCCACGUGCAGUUUGUCUUAUCUUGAUUUUUUUCCAGUAAUCUUUUAAGAGUUUCCCAUGCCAUGUAGUCAUUCUUCAAAAACCCACUUUGAACAGCUGCGUAAUAUUCCGCUGUGGAGGAGUGCCCUGCAGUGUAGAGAAAUGAGUUAUUUACGCUGAAGUCUGUUAUUACAUGGACAUCUUCCCUUUUCUGACCCUGCAAUGACCACACUCAUAGGUGAGUCUCUCUGGAAAUCCUUGACUACCUCCUUAGGGUCCAUUCUUAGAAGUGGAAUUACUGGGUUAGAGGGCAUGAGUGCCUUGAGGGCGGCUGUCUCCCUCUACCUGCAUGCCUGCCAGGGCAAACCCGUGCAUGCUCCCAGGACAGGCCUGGCAGGGCGUGUCUCCCUGCUGCACCCUUGGUACCCUUGGCAGGGCUAACAUUAUCCUCUAAACCAGGUCUUUGCAGCACUUACCCUUUUCAAGGUGCUACUGUACCUCUCCUUUAAGGAG